GAUGAAGAACGCAGCGAAAUGCGAUAAGUAAUGUGAAUUGCAGAAUUCCGUGAAUCAUCGAAUCUUUGAACGCACAUUGCGCCCUCUGGUAUUCCGGGGGGCAUGCCUGUUCGAGCGUCAUUACAACCCUCAGGCCCCCGGGCCUGGCGUUGGGGAUCGGCGGAGCCCCCCGUGGGCACACGCCGUCCCCCAAAUGCAGUGGCGGUCCCGCCGCAGCUUCCAUCGCGUAGUAGCUAACACCUCGCGACUGGAGAGCGGCGCGGCCACGCCGUAAAACACCCAACUCUUCUGAAGUUGACCUCGAAUCAGGUAGGAAUACCCGCUGAACUUAAGCAUAUCAAUAAGCGGAGGA
rnacentral:misc_RNA from 1 species